CAGUCGCCGCGGUAAUACCAGCACCUCGAGUGGUCAGGAGGUUUAUUGGGCCUAAAGCAUCCGUAGCCGGUUGCAUAAGUUUUCGGUUAAAUCUAUGCGCUUAACGUAUAGGCCGCCGAAAAUACUGUGCAGCUAGGGAGUGGGAGAGGUACACGGUACUCGAUAGGAAGGGGUAAAAUCCUUUGAUCUAUUGAUGACCACCUGUGGCGAAGGCGGUGUACCAGAACACGUUCGACGGUGAGGGAUGAAAGCUGGGGGAGCAAACCGGAUUAGAUACCCGCGUAGUCCCUGUCUCUUAUAC
rnacentral:rRNA from 1 species